rnacentral:rRNA from 1 species
GGAUGAACGCUAGCGGCAGGCCUAACACAUGCAAGUCGAGGGGUAGAAGUUCUUCGGGACUUUGAGACCGGCGUACGGGUGCGUAACGCGUAUACAAUCUGCCUUACACAAGGGGAUAGCCCAGAGAAAUUUGGAUUAAUACCCUAUGGUAUUGUUUUGAGGCAUCUUGGAGCAAUUAAAGCUACGGUGGUGUAAGAUGAGUAUGCGUCCUAUUAGCUAGUUGGAGUGGUAACGGCACCCCAAGGCGACGAUAGGUAGGGGUCCUGAGAGGGAGAUCCCCCACACUGGUACUGAGACAGGGACCAGACUCCUACGGGAGGCAGCAGUGAGGAAUAUUGGUCAAUGGUCGGAAGACUGAACCAGCCAUGCCGCGUGCAGGAUGACUGCCCUAUGGGUUGUAAACUGCUUUUGUAUGGGAAGAAUAAGGUCUACGCGUAGAUUGAUGACGGUACCAUACGAAUAAGCAUCGGCUAACUCCGU